rnacentral:misc_RNA from 1 species
CAACCCUCAAGCCCCCGCUUGGCGUUGGGCCCUGCCCGUGUGCGGCCGGCCCCAAAGGCAGUGGCGGCGCCCCCCGGCCCUGAGCGCAGUACAGCCCUCGCUCCAGGGCCGCGCGGCCGCCCGCCAGAACCCCCCGCUCGU